rnacentral:rRNA from 1 species
GUUAGGAAAUGCAGGUGCGUUAAUAGCGCACUUGCUUGACUAAGGCUCCAGAGGAAGCCACGGCUAACUCUGUGCCAGCAGCCGCGGUAAUACAGAGGCGGCAAGCGUUGUUCGGAAUUAUUGGGCGUAAAGAGCACGUAGGCGGCCUUGCAAGUCAGUUGUGAAAGCCUUCCGCUUAACGGAAGAACGGCAUCUGAUACUACAGGGCUUGAGUACGGGAGGGGAGAGUGGAACUUCUGGU